AUCCAUCUUAUUCCUCAGGCUCUAAGACGGGACAUUACUGAGGGGAAAGACAUAAAUUUAGCAUCACUACUGAUUGCUUCUCAAGACGUGGUAGAAAACAGAGCCUAUACCUUCGAGGAUCUGUCGGUAGUGAUGAAGUCUAGAGACCCUAGACUAAAUAGAAAGCUCAAUAUUCCCGAAUUUGUCAUCGCAUUCGGACUGUACAGAGAUGUGAUUUGUACAACCUUCCCUCUCCGUAGAGAGGAACUUGACUUAUAUCUGCAUAAGGUGGUUGAGUUAGCAUACAAGUACGGCGGCUAUGCAUUUUACGACUAUCAUAAG